UUAUAUAAAAUGUUUGUAUAAAAAUCGAAGGGAAUCAAGAAGAAGAUAGUUGAUGAGUAUGAACAUAGAGUAGAGCAUCCCGUGAUAGGCAAACAAGACAUUCGGUGGUUUAUCCGACAUGUAAUGAGACAAAAUUGUAAGGUUUGAAAUUAAAGAGAGCACAUGUGAUCACUGGAAUCACUUUCAUUACACGACAAUUUCACAUAUUUAGCACAUAUGGUGUAAAUGUUGCAUUUUGUACACCAGUCUUAAAACAGUAUCAAUCAUAAAUAUAUAUAUCAAUUUUAGACUAAUUUUUCAUUCUGUUAUAAACCAUUUAGUGAUCGACCCAUUUAUCAGCCCGU
rnacentral:lncRNA from 1 species